rnacentral:lncRNA from 10 species
AACACAUAGAGACACAGCAUCAUGAAGGCAGAGGCUGCCUCGGGACGGCUCUGCCCCAGGGAGCGUGGGGCCAUCUGAGCCAAACAGAAUAGAGGGCUUGGACACAGCCCCGGAUGUGAGUUGAGCUCUGAAUGUCAAGACCAGUCCUGGGUGAGGAAACUGAAGCUCUGAGAGCAGUAGCUCCCCUGAGCCGUGCAGCUGGAGAGGGCUGCGCCAACAGCAGAGCUGGGGCUCUUUGCAGUCCCAUUUUCCACUGCUUUGGUCAGGGAGUGAGUCCCCUGAUGUCAUCCGAGGAUAUGAGGCAUCGCUAAAUCUGGCCAUCCCCUGAAGCACCCAGCCUCACCGACUUCCUGAAGCGUGGAUGAACGCUGCUGCCACAAAUGUGCUGUGACAACCGCUGACAAGGAGAAAAAAGGUUUGCUGACGCCAAAGGUCAGAGGACAGUUCAGCU